UACGGGGGGGGGCAAGCGUUGUUCGGAAUUACUGGGCGUAAAGGGCUCGUAGGUGGCCAACUAAGUCAGACGUGAAAUCCCUCGGCUUAACCGGGGAACUGCGUCUGAUACUGGAUGGCUUGAGUUCGGGAGAGGGAUGCGGAAUUCCAGGUGUAGCGGUGAAAUGCGUAGAUAUCUGGAGGAACACCGGUGGCGAAGGCGGCAUCCUGGACCGACACUGACGCUGAGGAGCGAAAGCCAGGGGAGCAAAACGGG
rnacentral:rRNA from 1 species